rnacentral:rRNA from 1 species
CCUACGGGAGGCUGCAGUGGGGAAUUUUGGACAAUGGGGGCAACCCUGAUCCAGCCAUGCCGCGUGCGGGAAGAAGGCCUUCGGGUUGUAAACCGCUUUUGUCAGGGAAGAAAUCUUCCGAGCUAAUACCUUGGGAGGAUGACGGUACCUGAAGAAUAAGCACCGGCUAACUACGUGCCAGCAGCCGCGGUAAUACGUAGGGUGCAUGCGGGGAUUGGAAUUACCGGGCGCAAAGCGUGAAGAGGCGGUUGAAAUCCCCGGGCUUAACCUGGGAACUGCACUUGUGACUGUACGUCUGGAGUACGGCAGAGGGGGAUGGAAUUCCGCGUGUAGCAGUGAAAUGCGUAGAUAUGCGGAGGAACACCGAUGGCGAAGGCAGUCCCCUGGGCCUGUACUGACGCUCAUGCACGAAAGCGUGGGGAGCAAACAGGAUUAGAUACCCCAGUAGUC